CCUACGGGAGGCUGCAGUGGGGAUUAUUGGGCAAUGGGCGCAAGCCUGACCCAGCAACGCCGCGUGAAGGAAGAAGGCUUUCGGGUUGUAAACUUCUUUUCUCAGGGACGAAGCAAGUGACGGUACCUGCGGAAUAAGCCACGGCUAACUAAGUGCCAGCAGCCGCGGGAAUACGUAGGGGGCAAGCGUUAUCCGGAUUUACUGGGUGUAAAGGGCGUGUAGGCGGGAAAGCAAGUCAGACGUGAAAAGCAUGGGGUCAACCGGUGGCGUGCAGUUGAAACUGUUUUUCUUGAGUACUGGAGAGGCAGGCGGAAUUCCUAGUGUAGCGGUGAAAUGCGUAGAUAUUGGGAGGAACACCAGUGGCGAAGGCGGUCUGCUGGACAGCAACUGACGCUGAGGCGCGAAAGCGUGGGGAGCGAACAGGAUUAGAUACCCGAGUAGUC
rnacentral:rRNA from 1 species